UUAAAGAGAGUUUGAUCCUGGCUCAGGACGAACGCUGGCGGCGUGCCUAAUACAUGCAAGUAGAACGCUGAGAACUGGUGCUUGCACCGGUUCAAGGAGUUGCGAACGGGUGAGUAACGCGUAGGUAACCUACCUCAUAGCGGGGGAUAACUAUUGGAAACGAUAGCUAAUACCGCAUAAGAGAGACUAACGCAUGUUAGUAAUUUAAAAGGGGCAAUUGCUCCACUAUGAGAUGGACCUGCGUUGUAUUAGCUAGUUGGUGAGGUAAAGGCUCACCAAGGCGACGAUACAUAGCCGACCUGAGAGGGUGAUCGGCCACACUGGGACUGAGACACGGCCCAGACUCCUACGGGAGGCAGCAGUAGGGAAUCUUCGGCAAUGGGGGCAACCCUGACCGAGCAACGCCGCGUGAGUGAAGAAGGUUUUCGGAUCGUAAAGCUCUGUUGUUAGAGAAGAAUGAUGGUGGGAGUGGAAAAUCCACCAAGUGACGGUAACUAACCAGAAAGGGACGGCUAACUACGUGCCAGCAGCCGCGGUAAUACGUAGGUCCCGAGCGUUGUCCGGAUUUAUUGGGCGUAAAGCGAGCGCAGGCGGUUUUUUAAGUCUGAAGUUAAAGGCAUUGGCUCAACCAAUGUACGCUUUGGAAACUGGAGAACUUGAGUGCAGAAGGGGAGAGUGGAAUUCCAUGUGUAGCGGUGAAAUGCGUAGAUAUAUGGAGGAACACCGGUGGCGAAAGCGGCUCUCUGGUCUGUAACUGACGCUGAGGCUCGAAAGCGUGGGGAGCAAACAGGAUUAGAUACCCUGGUAGUCCACGCCGUAAACGAUGAGUGCUAGGUGUUAGGCCCUUUCCGGGGCUUAGUGCCGGAGCUAACGCAUUAAGCACUCCGCCUGGGGAGUACGACCGCAAGGUUGAAACUCAAAGGAAUUGACGGGGGCCCGCACA
rnacentral:rRNA from 1 species